rnacentral:rRNA from 1 species
UACGGAGGGUGCAAGCGUUAUCCGGAUUCACUGGGUUUAAAGGGUGCGUAGGCGGGCAGGUAAGUCAGUGGUGAAAUCUCCGGGCUUAACCCGGAAACUGCCGUUGAUACUAUCUGUCUUGAAUAUCGUGGAGGUAAGCGGAAUAUGUCAUGUAGCGGUGAAAUGCUUAGAUAUGACAUAGAACACCGAUUGCGAAGGCAGCUUGCUAAACGAUUAUUGACGCUGAGGCACGAAAGCGUGGGGAUCAAACAGG